GAUGAAGAACGCAGCGAAAUGCGAUAAGUAAUGUGAAUUGCAGAAUUCCGUGAAUCAUCGAAUCUUUGAACGCACAUUGCGCCCUCUGGUAUUCCGGGGGGCAUGCCUGUCCGAGCGUCAUUGCUGCCCUCAAGCACGGCUUGUGUGUUGGGCCCCGUCCUCCGAUCCCGGGGGACGGGCCCGAAAGGCAGCGGCGGCACCGCGUCCGGUCCUCGAGCGUAUGGGGCUUUGUCACCCGCUCUGUAGGCCCGGCCGGCGCUUGCCGAUCAACCCAAAUUUUUAUCCAGGUUGACCUCGGAUCAGGUAGGGAUACCCGCUGAACUUAAGCAUAUCAAUAAGCGGAGGA
rnacentral:misc_RNA from 1 species